UACGUAGGGUGCAAGCGUUGUCCGGAAUUAUUGGGCGUAAAGAGCUCGUAGGCGGUUCGUCGCGUCGGCUGUGAAAUCCCGAGGCUCAACCUCGGGUCUGCAGUCGAUACGGGCGGACUGGAGUACUGCAGGGGAGACUGGAAUUCCUGGUGUAGCGGUGAAAUGCGCAGAUAUCAGGAGGAACACCGGUGGCGAAGGCGGGUCUCUGGGCAGUUACUGACGCUGAGGAGCGAAAGCGUGGGGAGCGGACAGG
rnacentral:rRNA from 1 species